GCAUGGCUGGCGGGCUGGGUGGAGUAGGGGCGGAGCCUGGGCGCCUAUCUUCACGGGGUACUGAGACUAGCUGGGGUACUUUGGAGGGCAGGCGUCGUGCUGAGUCCGAGGACAGAGGUGGCAGAGCCUCGGGGUAGCCAGUUACAGCCGACCACUUAAAAUGAGUCAACGUUUCUCGUUUGUUCAUUUCUUCAGAGUCAACGUUUCUCGUUCGUUCAUUUCUUCAGCAAAAGUUAUCCUUUGAGGCAAAGACUCCGGAGUCUGGUUGAUGGAAGGUAAAACAGAGUCCUGCAUACCGCUGUGUGACCUCAAAUUGGACAACCUCUCUGAGCCACAGCAUCUUCGGCUGAUAAGUGGAGAUAAUUAUACCCUCCCAAGUUGUUGUACAUGAGUUUGAGCAAGCUCCAGGAGUUGGUGAUGGACAGGGAAGCCUGGCGUGCUGCAGUCCGUGGGGUCGCUAAGAGUCGGACACGACUGAGCGACUGAACUGAAGUUGUUGUAAAGAUUACAUGAGGUGCACUUGCCUGCAAAUAACCAAACGCAUGAAGCCCAAAUUCACAGAACAAUAGGAACAUUCAGAAACAAGUGCAGUGCCAACAUGCUUUCAAAGAGGCAUAAGGAGAGUACCUCUCACCUGAGGACCAGAUGAGCUGCUUCGGGGAUGAAGGACUGGAGGACAGAGAGAACUUCCUGCUUCUGCCAGUUUCUUCAAAUUCCUUCAGCUUAAAAUACUCAGUGUGCCAAAUGGCCAUAUUUUGGGGUAUCAUUUCCUGAAUCCCAUCAACAGCAAACCCAAAAUAAGUAAAUGAUCAAGAGAGUUUCCCGUAGUAAUAGUGGUGGUGGUGCUUAGUCAAUCAGUCUGACUUUUUGCAGCUUCAUGGACUGUAGCCCGCCAGGCUGCUCCGUCCAUGGGAUUUCCCAGGCAAGAAUACUGGAGUGGGUUGCCAUUCCCUUCUCCAGGGGAUCUUCCUGACUCAGGGGUCAAACCUGUGUCUCCUGCCUUUCCUGCAGUGGCAGGUAGAUUCUUUACCACUAGUGCCACCUGGGAAGCCCCUGCCCCUCGUAGUAAUAGUGCUUAUAAUUAACAGAUGAAAUAUAAGUGAUGGGUGACCAGGAAAGGACAGAGGCUACAUUAGACGGAGGUCCCAGAGAAUGUCUGGCUAAGAAGGUUACAGUUUGCCAAGACCUGAAUGACAAGUAAGAGGAAAUUAACUGAGGACCUGAGAUCCAAGAAUUCCAGGCCAAGGUCUGAAAUUGAAGAACAGAGGAGUGCUAAGGUGGCUGGAGCCUGGUUACCCAGGAGAGAGUAGUAGGAAAAGAAUUCAGAGAGGAAUGCUAGAGGCAAGAUCACAGACGGCCUUUCAGCCAAGGCAAGGACUUUAAAUUUUAUUCAGAGCACAGUGAGUUUUAAGGAGAGAAGUAGACUGAUGGUUCUGAUUGCUACAGCAAGAAGAAUGCAGGAGACAGUAGAAGCAGGAAAGUCAGAGAGAAAUCUGGUACAGAUGCCCCAUGAUAGAUGACCGUGCAUGCAGGAUAGAAACAAUGAAGAUGAAAAUUAGUUGAAUGCACUGUGGAAAUCAGAAAUUAUAGUUUUAAUUUCCUACACUGAUCACAGUUAAAGAAAUAUGUUACAAUUGUAUUUAAUAAGAAGCUUUGUGGAAUGUAAUUGCUUUGUUGAAAUGUCCCUUCACAGUAAGAUAAGGAGGAAGUUAGAAAAUAAAAUGGGAGAAAUUCUUAAUUAAGUUUAAAUUUAUACAGGUUCUUUUAUUAUGUUUAUUGAGAAGAGCAUCCAGAGAGAUGGAAUGUUAAUUUCAAGGUUUUUGUUUAAUCUCUUAGGAAGGUAACAUCCACUCAAAGCAUAUGCUUAUGAAACAACAUAUAUUGUUUUUUUUUUCAUCUAUUGGGUGUGUUGUUAUAAGAAGUGAAAUUUGUUUCUUAGCUUAAAAGAGCUCACAAACUUUCAAAAGAGCUUUCCCAUCAUAUAAAAUCUAGGUUCUUUGACUAGUUAGAACUUGAGGCCCUUGAGUCUUAUUUUCUCAUUGCAGACUGAGAGCUAAUAAACAGUGCCUUCCGUGGAUUCCGAUACAACGCACUAUGUGAAGUUGCCUGUCUUCAACAGAAGGAAAAUUCUCAUUUACUUGGCUGAGAUUAGCUGAAGCGUUUCCAAACGCACACUCCCAAAUUUCACAGUAAAAAUGACUGGAAACACACCACAUGAGCUUAAAAUAAACACACCCCAUUCAAAAACCGGGUACUGUGGCCUUUCUCAUACUUAACAAAAAUAUAAAAAUAAAAUCGCUAUUCCCCUUUAUUCAAAAAAGGGAGAGUAACCUCAUUGGAUUUGGGGUAAGGGAGGGAAGGACUGAGCUUCAGUUCAGAAGCAGGGCAGCAUGCUAGAUAGUAUGGGUUCUGAUGAAG